GGCACAAAUCUUUCUGGUGUGGAGACUGGAGAUGAUGUGCAGAAAUGGCACCUCGAAAGGGGAAGGAAAAGAAGGAAGAACAGGUCAUCAGCCUCGGACCUCAGGUGGCUGAAGGAGAGAAUGUAUUUGGUGUCCGCCAUAUCUUUGCAUCCUUCAGUGACACUUCUGUCCAUGUCACUGAUCUUUCUGGCAAAGAAACCAUAUGCCGUGUGACUGGUGGGAUGAGGGUGAAGGCAGACCGAGACAAAUCCUCGCCAUAUGCAGCUAUGUUGGCUGCCCGGGAUGUGGCCCAGAAGUGCAAGGAGCUGGGUAUCACUGCCCUACGCAUCAAACUCCAGGCCACAGGAGGAAAUAGGACCCAGGACCGGGGACCUGGGGCCCAGUCGACCCUCAGAGCCCUUGCCCGCUCCGGUAUGAAGAUCGGGCAGAUUGAGGACGUCACCCCCAUCCCCUCUGACAGCACUCGCAGGAAGGGGGUCACGAUGGUCACUGUCUGUGAACAAGACUCCUCAAAAUAUUUUGUUAAUAAAUUGCCUUCAUGUAAAACAAACUGGAAGACUCAGGGUGGGUGGAAGACACCAGCGAGCCAGGAGGUGGGGAGAAGCCCUGGCUAUCUGCAGAACCGGGCAGGUCUCAGCUGA